rnacentral:tRNA from 1 species
GGGGGUAUAGCUCAGUGGUAGAGCUUCCGACUGCAGAUCGGGUUCUCCCCGAUUCAAAUCUGGGGGCCCCCU